CCAUUAUGAUGUCUCUGCCUCUUUUUCUCCUUGUCUAAUUUGUUUCUUAUUUACAUAUUAGAGACAGAAAAAAUAAAACAGGUGCCCUCCACCAACCAAGAAGAGAGAAGGCCGUCUGUUCUUGUCCCUGCCUUCUCUCCAUCCUCUGCUUAACAGUCUUCCUGGGGGUGGGGGUGGGGUAAGAGAUAGCUCACUGGCAAGGGCACCUGCCUACCUACCAUGCGUGUGGGCCAGACACACCAUGUGGGAGCACCACAGCAGCUGGGGAAGCCCCAACCCUGGAGUGUUUUGUCACUGUCCAAGUAGAAAAACAGCCACUCCUGUUCGUUCAUUUCUGUUACCUCCAGGUGUAUCACAGCUCCUAGAGAUCAUUUUUCAUUUUUUUUUUUUAAUAUUUUUAGUCAUUUGUAUUUAGUUUUCAUUAUCUUAACUUAUGGAAAAGAGCCAGUAAUUGAGGGUGGUGAUAGAGAGGGAGAGAGAACACCUGCAGCAAUGCUUCACCCCAUCUGAAGCAUCCCCCCUGAAGGUGGGGACCAGGGGCUUGAACCCGGGUCCUUGCGCAUUGUAACAUAUGCGGUCAACCUGAUGCACCACCACUCGGACCCUUUAUUUUAUAUUUUAUUAUCAUUUCCCCCACCCCCAGAUUACUGCUCUGGCUUCUGGUGGUGUAGGGGAAUGAACCUGGGACUUAAGAGCCUCCGGCAGGAGAAUCUGUUUGCAGAAUCAUUAUGCAUGCCGGCUCCCCUGCCCCUAUUUUUAUUGGAUGGGACGGAGAGAAACUGAAAGGGGAAGGGGGAGAUAGAGAGGGAUAGAGACAGAGAGACACUUGCAGACCCGGUUCACUGCAAGUGAAGCAAACCCUCCCUGCAGGUGGGAAGCCGGGGGGCUCGAACCAGGAUCCUACCACAGGUCCUUGUGCUUCCUACUAUGUGUGCUUAACUGAGUGGGCCACCGCCCAGCCCCACCACUCUUUUUUUAAAAGACUUUCUUUUUUUUUUUUUUUUUUAUUUAUUCCCUUUUGUUGCCCUUGUUGUUUUAUUGUUGUAAUUGAUAUCGUCGUUUUGGAUAGCACAGAGAGACAUGGAGGGAGGAGGGGAAGACAGAGAGAGAGAGAGGGAGAGACAGACAGACACCUGCAGACCUGCUUCACCGCCUGGGAAGCGACUCCCCUGCAGGUGGGGAGCCGGGGGCUCGAACCGGGAUCCUUUCGCCGGUCCUUGCGCUUUGCGUCACGUGCGCUUAACCCGCUGCGCUACCGCCCGACUCCCACCACUCCUGAUUUUAUUCCUUCUCUCACCUGCUGGCCUGAAGCGCCAAGCCCUCUGCACUGAUGGAAGAUGGUCAUCUGUCCCCAGGUCCUACGGUCGGUCGGUCCCUCAGCUGACACAGGGCCUACCAUCCUUGGUAAGUCUAAGCAUCCCCCAGAACAUCACAACCUGGGGCUAUUUCUUUCACCACCCCCAUCCCCACAACCCUUGAGGGGGGAGCCACCCCUCUCCAAGGCUUUACCUCUAAAGGACUCCUGAAGGAGCGCGCAGUAGAUAAAACUCUGGAUCAAACUCUCAAGCCUGAGGUCCAGAGUUUGAUCCCCAGCAUUGAAUGUACCAGAGUAAGGCAUUGCUUCUCCUUACAAGUACAUAAAUAAAUCUUUUUUUUUAAA